GUUCUAUAGCAUAACAAAUAAGGGACUCCUCACCAGAAUGGUAUCUGUUUUAACUGUCUCACUUGAAGUUGAUUUAACUUCCUUUUACUAUUGGCAGAUAUAUGGAGAGUGACUGUUUUCUAAAAAUGUAUGAACAUCAGAGUAAAAUGUCAGGAGUCAUACCAGAAACUCAUUCAGGCUAGGCUUAAAUGACAUAAUAAAACAUGUCCCACUCAGUUAUUAAUAUUAAAAUGAAGGAGCAUUUAGUUUUUUUAGAUCAAUCACCAGGUCAGCAUUUAUUAAUGGGUUAGCUCCUCUCACUCACUGAACAAAUGACAUGAAAUUACAUGAAAUAAAAAACUCUUUUGGUAUAUCUAGUAAAUUUAAAUUAAAGGACCACUAUCGUGCCAGGAAAACAAUCUUGUUUUCCUGGCACUAUAUGGUCUUUAGGUCCCCCCCACCCUCAGGGCCCCACUCCCUCCGGGCUCUAAGGGUAGGAAGGGGUUAAUCACUUACCUUCCUCCAGCGCCGGGCGCUGGGGACUCUCCUCCCUCUUCGGCUGAAUGCGCAUGCGCGGCAAGAGCCGCACGCGCAUUCAGUCAGUCCAUAGAAAAGCAUUUUCAAUGCUUUCCUAUGGACACUGUCAUCUUCUCACUGUGAAAAUCACAGUGAGAAGUGCCGAAGCGCCUCUAGCGGCUGUCAAUGAGACAGCCACUAGAGGCUGGAUUAACCUAUUGUAAACAUGGCAGCAGGCAGGGUUAACCCUAGAGGGACCUGGCACUCAGACCACUUCAUUGAGCUGAAGUGGUCUGGGUGCCUAUAGUGGUCCUUUAAGUAGGCAGGCACUCAAGAUGGUGGUGUUCUUGGCAAGUUUUCCAUACAAACACACCUCCAAAUAAUAAUACAUUAAAUAAAGCUUUGUUAGACUGAAUAACUCAGUUCAGAUGUUCACUCAGAGGGACCGUUUUGACUCUUACAUGGUCUUUGUUAAACCUAAGUUUACAAAAAGCUACACGCUGAUAUAAAGCAUGUUAAAAAACAAUCAAUGCCACAAAUAUGCGUAAAACGUGUAAAAGAAUGCAUGUAGCAAAACUUUGAAUUAAAUUAUACCAACUUUUCACGCAAUUAGUUACAAACAACAUAAAUAAAAUUGUAACAAGUAAAUAAAUAAUGAAUGAUAAAGGGUAAAGAGAAAAGGAGAGAAAGAUUUAUAAUUUGCAGCGAUAUAUUUUUAUGUUGAUUAUUACCUAAAACAUUGAAACCAUAUAACUCAAUGUUUUGCUAUAUGCAAUCCUGAAAACAUUUUAUACUGAUUGUAAAAUCACUAUAUAUUUGUAGACUUACACCCUGUGAAUGUCAAAAUAUUGUAAGGUCCAUGUUCUGACUAAAUAAACAUCCAAAAUUAGGUUAUCCAAUGUGUUAGGGCUUUAUUUAAUUUGUUUUUGUUUUCACCUUCUACUCAAUAACCACACCAUCUUUUAACAUUUAAAAAUGCCACACAAAGUUAUAUUUCUUUAGAAAAGACACUGCUCUUUUAUUCACAGGUCUAGUAAACAAACAAAAAAAAAAUGAGCUAUAGUUGGUCAGCUUACCUACUGCCAACAAAACAAAGUAGACAAAGCACAGACCUUUUUUAAAUUCAUUUUUUUCUCUUUGUAAUAAUUAGUCUCUGGAGUCUCUCUAGAGAGACAAUACACUUUUACUCAAUGCCCAUGCCCUCUCCCACUGAAUCUUGGACAGGAAAAUUUUGCAGUCUUCUGCUAAUUUCUUACUGGUGAGGAACUACCUGAGUGAUCCAAACCUCCUGGACUAGAUCAUCCACCUGCUGUGCUGUGAGUAAACUGUGGAGAGGAGCCGUGGCCUUCCCUUCUCUCCACAUUAUCCACCACAAGGAACAAAUUAAAUCUUAGAUUCUUUGUGGAAACAAAACAUUUUCCCUGGUACUAUUAGACCAUAUAUUGCACUGCAGCACACUUGGAGAAAUAUAUACACCAUCCACAGCAAUGUGCUAGGUCACAGUGUAAAUAGGGACUGCCUACUUCCUAACUUAUAACAAAAUUGUAGGCAUCCAUGGAGAAUGAUUAAAAAAAGAGCUACAAGAAGAAUGGUAACUUGCUUCAUUACAAAAACAUGGCAUAAUUACUAAAAUAAAUUUCCAAGCUUAAAAUGCAAGGAAGUCUUUCAAAAUGCACAUCAUAGACUUUUGCCUCAAAGAACAGAAACUCUGAGAAAUGCAAACAGAAAUCUUGAACAUCACGACUACAUCUCAAUACCCUAAAGUAAAGGCUGAAGAAUAAUACUUAUUUAUUUACCAAUCUAAAAUAUAUUGAAUUGCUUUAAAAAAACACUGCAAUAGGGAGAAACAGUUCUAGAGGACAGGUUUAUAAAAUAAAUCACCACUUCAAUAUCAUAAAAAUAUCAAGCUAGGACCAGGAAAACAUGGUAUGAAAAGGACUAAAACAGAAAUAUAGACAAUAAAAAUGGAAUAUGUAAACUUUAACCCCUUAAUGAAACAUGAUGGAAAUGAUGGAAAAUUAUGCUGAAAAAUAUGUGGUGGCCCUGAUCUGCCCAUGUUCCUCCCACCUGCAGCAGUUAAGAGUUAAAAAAAGAAUAAAGCAGAGUUGCUGGAGACUUCGCCUCUCACAUCUCCUGGGCUGUGAGUUGAGAGUGAAUUAGUUUAAGAUCGGGGGAUCCUCCCAUAUAAGCUUCCUUCCAUCAAUCCAAUGGCUUGUGGAAUGCCAUAAUUUAACCCCUCAACCUCUGGCAAUGCACGAGGGGCAUGGGGGAGCCUGCACAAGGAAGCAAAGGGGAACUAAUUCUCUUACUACAAGGCAUUACAUAGCCUCCUCCCAGUCUAAAAAUUUGUGACAUAGAGACAGACAAAAUAGCAGUAUGGCCAACAACAGCCCUCAAGACAACAUAUAUACUUGAUAUACAUAAGAUUUGUCUAUGUAAGGAAACCUCAAUAGUAAAUAAUCAAAUCGGGGUAGUUGAAAUGAAACAAACUAGCCAUAAUACAAAGUAAUGGCGAACUUACCUAACAGGAAAAAAAAUAAACAUUUGUGAUACAAGUAGCUGUACUGCUGCAGACCUGUGUUACAUCAGAACAUUGGAAAUUUGAAAAUCAGACAGCCACAUCUGCUUAAACUACAUGGUUCUCUACAAACCACAUAUAUCAUUAUCAUCUCUUCAAAGAGAGAUGUCAGAUCUCAAAUCAUUAAAUAGGGUGCACACAGGGAUGACACAAGUUAUUUAAUAAGGUAUAAUAUACUCGAUCUCUAGAGAAACAAAAUUAUUAUUAUGUUAUUAUUUAUAUAGCGCCAACAAAUUCCACAGCGCUUUACAGUGGGUGGACAAACAAAUAUGUAUUUGUAACCAGACAAGUUGGACACACAGGAAGAGAGGGUUUGAGGACCCGGCUCAAUGAGCUUACAUGCUAGAGGGAGUGGGAUGUGUGGCACUUUCCCAGAGUGGGUUUUUUAAAAAUGACCUGGUGAGGAUCUAACCCAUUAGUUAAUGUCAUCAUGGUCUGGUAUGAAUAUGACUUAAUGGACAUUUUACAAAUAUAUUGAUGCACAAAUUAGCUGGCAAAAAUGUUGGUGAUUGGUAUUUGUCCUUUUUAAAAAAAAAAUUUUAAAGUAUGUUUUAUUGGUAAAUAUUGGCCCUCUUUUUCAUCUGUUCUUUACAGUUUGGUAGGUGAGUUUGUAAUUUUAUCUCAACAUGUCAUUUUAUAUCAACAUGUCAUUGUGUUGCUGAUAAUAACAGCAGAUGUUUUAAUGGUAGAUAGCAUUGUUUGCUCGCUUUAGUAGCAGGCAAACAUGGGUGAUAUCAUCAAUUUACAUACAGCUAUCUCUGUGGGUUCUAUUGAUUUUGCUGAUGUAGGCACAUAUCUACUGAUUUGCAAUCAGUAGGUAUAUUUCCGUAGGGACUUGAACCCACUUUAUCUGACCAAAGUUUUCACUGUGGCUGUUUAGUAAAAUAUGGUACUCGGUCAAUUUGUGGGAAACAACAUGGUUAGCAUGUCUUGUUCACAUGUAGAUAAGUUCAAAAUGCAAAAGUAUCAGUGAAAAAAAAAAGUAAAACUUUCUUUAUUAAGAAGAACACAUUACUUCUACGUAUUUUUGUCCCUGCCACUGUUGUAUAUUUAACCUAACUACAUGUGAUCGAUAAAACUUAUUUUGAUAAACAAAACCUUCCAGUCUUCAUCUUUACAAGUAUGAUAUGACAGAAACAACACACUGGAAGAAAUCUGUAGCCUCCCACGAGUACGCCAGCAAUAAGAGGCUAACUGUAAUAGCUGUAUCUUACUAGCUGAAAGGCAGAGGAAUUUAAUCUAUGGAGAGAAGCUGACACAGUCAAACUUUAAGUAAAAAUCUUACUUUUUGUCUAUAUUUGGGUGUUGUAAAGUUUUAAGAUAUUAUUUCACUGUUUAUGUCAGCUAAUACCCAACAACAUAUAAGAAAAAUGAUGCCAGGGAAUUUUGUUCAAUUAAAAUUUAAGAUGAAUACGUCUAAAAAGGCUUGCAUAAUAAUAAUAAUAAUAAAAAAAACAUAAACAUACAAGUAAAUAAAAACAAAUACAUCUUAUUGAGGAGUCCAGAUUCUGCAUAAAAGGUAUUAAAAAACAAUUUUUUUUUGACGAAAGCUAC